UGUCUAUUAAUUGUAGACCUGUAUGAAAGGCAAAAUGAGGGUUUAACUGUCUCUUAUAACAAAUCAAUUAAACUGAUCUCCCAGUAAAAAAGCUGGAAUACCCACAUAAGACCAGAAGACCCUGUGAAGCUUUAACUAAACUAUUAAACCUUAUAAUAACUACUUUAGGUUGGGGCGACCUUGGAAAAAAAAAGAACUUCCAAAAAGUGAUUAUAACUCACCUCCUAGGCCUACAAGCCACCCAAAUGACCCAGCACAGCUGAUAAUCGAACCAAGUUACUCCAGGGAUAACAGCGCUAUCUUCUUCAAGAGCCCAUAUCAAAAAGAAGGUUUACGACCUCGAUGUUGGAUCAGGACAUCCUAAUGGUGCA
rnacentral:rRNA from 1 species